rnacentral:rRNA from 1 species
UAAGACGUAGGAGGCGAGCGUUAUCCGGAUUCACUGGGCGUAAAGCGCAUGUAGGCGGUUGUGUAAGUCCGUUGUUAAAGCCCCUGGCUCAACUGGGGGAGGUCAAUGGAGACUACACUGACUUGAGGGCAACAGAGGCACGUGGAACUCCCGGUGUAGCGGUGGAAUGCGUAGAGAUCGGGAAGAACACCCGUGGCGAAGGCGACGUGCUGGGUUGCAACUGACGCUGAGAUGCGAAAGUGUGGGGAGCAAACGGGAUUAGAUACCCCGGUAGUCCACACUGUAAACGAUGAACCCUAGGUGUGGGGCGGUCAAACGCUCCGUGCCGAAGCCAACGCGUUAAGGGUUCCGCCUGGGGACUAUGAGCGCAAGCUUA